UACGAAGGGUGCAAGCGUUACUCGGAAUUAUUGGGCGUAAAGCGUCCGCAGGUGGCACCUCAAGUCUGCUGUCAAAGACCGGGGCUUAACCCCAGAAAGGCAGUGGAAACUGAAGUGCUAGAGUGCAGUAGGGUAGAGGGAAUUCCCGGUGUAGCGGUGAAUGCGUAGAGAUCGGGAAGAACAUCCGUGGCGAAAGCGCUCUGCUGGACUGCAACUGACACUCAGGGACGAAAGCUAGGGAGCGAUGGG
rnacentral:rRNA from 1 species